GCCGGCGUGGUGUAGCGGCAAGCAUCGCGGGUCCUCAACCCGCAGACCUGGAUUCGAGUUCCAGCACCGGCA
rnacentral:tRNA from 1 species